GAUUUAUGGGUUUAAAGGGAGCGUAGAUGGAUGUUUAAGUCAGUUGUGAAAGUUUGCGGCUCAACCGUAAAAUUGCAGUUGAUACUGGAUAUCUUGAGUGCAGUGNAGGCAGGCGGAAUUCGUGGUGUAGCGGUGAAAUGCUUAGAUAUCACGAAGAACUCCGAUUGCGAAGGCAGCCUGCUAAGCUGCAACUGACAUUGAGGCUCGAAAGUGUGGGUAUCAAACAGGAUUAGAUGCCCUGGUAGUCCACACGGUAAACGAUGAAUACUCGCUGUUUGCGAUAUACUGCAAGCGGCCAAGCGAAAGCGUUAAGUAUUCCACCUGGGGAGUACGCCGGCAACGGUGAAACUCAAAGGAAUUGACGGGGGCCCGCACAAGCGGAGGAACAUGUGGUUUAAUUCGAUGAUACGCGAGGAACCUUACCCGGGCUUAAAUUGCAGAUGAAUUACGGUGAAAGCCGUAAGCCGCAAGGCAUCUGUGAAGGUGCUGCAUGGUUGUCGUCAGCUCGUGCCGUGAGGUGUCGGCUUAAGUGCCAUAACGAGCGCAACCCUUGUUGUCAGUUACUAACAGGUUCCGCUGAGGACUCUGACAAGACUGCCAUCGUAAGAUGUGAGGAAGGUGGGGAUGACGUCAAAUCAGCACGGCCCUUACGUCCGGGGCUACACACGUGUUACAAUGGGGGGUACAGAGGGCCGCUACCACGCGAGUGGAUGCCAAUCCCCAAAACCUCUCUCAGUUCGGACUGGAGUCUGCAACCCGACUCCACGAAGCUGGAUUCGCUAGUAAUCGCGCAUCAGCCACGGCGCGGUGAAUACGUUCCCGGGCCUUGUACACACCGCCCGUCAAGCCAUGGGAGCCGGGGGUACCUGAAGUGCGUAACCGCGAGGAGCGCCCUAGGGUAAA
rnacentral:rRNA from 1 species